ACCAAAGGAACACAAAUAAUUUCUUUCUUUCUUGUUCUUUCUCCUUGUUCAAGUCGACACAAACAAAAGAAAUCAAGAAAUCUUUUUUCUUGUUCUUCCUUUCAAUCAAGAGUUUGAAAUAAAUCAAAUAUUGUUUUUUUUUUCUUAAUCUAUCUUUCUUGGUUCGAUGGUGUCGUGAAGUUUGGUUUCCAGUUUGGAUGUGAAAAACGAAGAAGAAGCUGCAGGAUCUUCGAGGUUCUUGGGUUUUACUGGUGAAGUCGGGUUGUCGAAGACGGAGGAGCUCGAUUGCAGCAGUGGAGUGGUGAUGAUGUUCUUCAAAAAAAUGGCAACCCAGCAGGUGGUUCUGGUCUCGAAUUCUCGAUGGCAGCAGUAGGUGAAGGUGAUCGUUAUCAGUGAUGUUCGAGAGGGGUUGAUAUAAGGUGGUGGUUGUUGGUUUGUUGGAACGAAAACGAAAUGGAACGAAAACGAAAGCAGUUGAUAUCAAUAGUGUUGGCCUUGGUUGUAAGGCAAAAACGAAAGCAACAAUUGUUGGCUCUGGUCUCGGUUGUAAGGAAAAGAUGAAUGUGAAGAAAGUGCUACCUGGUGGUGUAUAGAAAGAUAAUGAGGCUGAACAAAAAAAUGUUCAAAAAAACAAAGAAAUAAAGAAAGAGAAUAGGGGGCUACGUUUGAGAGAGAGAGAGAGAGAGAGAGAGAGAGAGAGAGAGAGAGAGAGAAUGUGAGGGUAUAAUGCUGGUGCUAGAGUUUAUAUAAUGAAGAGUCUGCUUUUUGUAAAAGUUAAAUAUGUAAUCCUAUUAUUUUGAUUGGCUGAUUCUUAUUCUCAAGGAUCACCAUCUUAGACCAUUCAAAUUAGAUCCAAAUCAUGUAAAUUAGAUCCAA